UAGGGAAUCUUCGGCAAUGGACGAAAGUCUGACCGAGCAACGCCGCGUGAGUGAAGAAGGUUUUCGGAUCGUAAAACUCUGUUGUUAGAGAAGAACAAUGACGUUAGUAACUGAACGUCCCCUGACGGUAUCUAACCAGAAAGCCACGGCUAACUACGUGCCAGCAGCCGCGGUAAUACGUAGGUGGCAAGCGUUGUCCGGAUUUAUUGGGCGUAAAGCGAGCGCAGGCGGUUUCUUAAGUCUGAUGUGAAAGCCCCCGGCUCAACCGGGGAGGGUCAUUGGAAACUGGGAGACUUGAGUGCAGAAGAGGGGAGUGUAAUUCCAUGUGUAGCGGUGAAGUGCGUAGGUAUAUGGAGGAACACCAGUGGCGAAGGCGGCUCUCUGGUCUGUAACUGACGCUGAGGCUCGAAAGCGUGGGGAGCAAACAGG
rnacentral:rRNA from 1 species